UAUAUAUAUAUAUAUAUAUAUAUAUAUAUAUAUAUAUAUAUCACUAUACAUACCUCAUUACAAAACAAAAACGUAGAUGUAUUCAUUUACAUUCUUGAGAGUAACCUAUAGUAACUGAUUUUGCAGGACCCUACAUAUUUUGUUGAAUACAAAACUGCAAAUAUUGUUACAAUUAGUGAUAUUUAGAGUUUUAUCAGAAUUGUCACUAUGCACAUUCUUGACUCACCUAUGCUAUAUUAUAAAAAUGUAAAGCAUCAUACAAUACAAAUGCCACAGGUCUUUUGAGUCUUUUUGAAACAAUAUAUUCCAGGCAUAAGAUGGUACCGCAUUAGUGGAUUUUAUUUGUGGGUGUGCAUUAGGGUUGCUACAUCGCCCCUUUAAAACCAAACACAUAUGGAAUACACAGUCUACAUGGAUAAUUAGCAAGUAAUUUAGAUGCAUGGCUGCUCAUAAAUCAGUUCAGCCUGCAGCAUGCAUCUAAAUGAUCAGGCUGUGUAUUCCAUAUGUCUUCGGUUUUAAAGGGGCGAGGUUGCAACCCUAAUGAGCAUGCUCACACAUAUACAUGCACAAUUCACAAUUUUCAAGUUUACACAUACACAGUUUUUUACCUUUUAUGCACUGUAUUGUGUGUUUUUGCUCUAAAAUAUUGUUUUCUUGCCAUGUAAACAGUGUAUUCCUGUAUACAUUUUGUAUAUUAUUUCAUUGAUUUUAUUUUUUGCAUUUAGUGAUUUGUGUUAUUUUGUUAGACAUUCUAUUACAUAUUUACAGCCUAGCCCAUGUUUUAUCCCCUUCACUGCGCCCCUCCAAGUUUCUCCCAACAUCAAUUCAUUUGAAGAAAAGUUCCCUUGUGUCCCAACCUGCCAUAAAUCUGCAGAGUCGUGUGGAGGAUUUCAAACAUGUAAUUUUUCCUAUCCUAGGAUCCUUAUCUGUAAUUUUCUUCAACAUGGAUCUUGCAGGAGCAUGCAUGGUUGAAGCUGAUUUAACUGCACAUGCUCCUCCAAGAUCCUUGUUGGUGAAGUAACAGAAGAGGACAAGAAGACAGUGGAGGAUGGCACUUUUCAGUGGAAUAGAUGUUGAGGGGAGUGAGCUGAGGGGCAGUGAGGAUAGCUGAUGAUGGGCUGAGGUUUAGUUUUUCCUUUAAAUGCUUAUUUGUGUCUGUUAAGCUUCACUAGUAGGAGAGUGUUGUACUGUGUCAGCCAUAGUUCAGAAAAACAAAACAGAAAAAGAUGUGGCAAUGUGAUAGCAUUUAUUGGCUAACUGAUAUAAAGCUUCAACAGGUCUUAAGCUUAAAAGUUUAUGGUUUGAUGUCUGUAUGAGAGCAAGGUCGGGUCCAGUAAUAUAUUUUGCAACCUUUCAUCUGGUUGCAGCUCCUUUGAGAUUUUCCUUAGGAGUCCCAGAUGAUGUUUGUAAGUAACCACUGGGGGACGGGUACAUAACUGUCCUUUUUUCCCCUCCUUGUUUUAGAAGGUUUUUUCUUGGGAUUUUACUUUCUUUUUAAUUUACCAAUAGUCUAUAUACCUAAUUAAUAAUUGCUUGCCAGGGAUUGAUAGAUUCUGGUUGUUGUGCAUGUCUUUAGAACAGCAUCAGUCUUCACCUAUGCCCUUUUGGGGCCCUGGGAAUUUCUGCUAUGAAAGAGGAAAAAUAUUUGGUUUUAUCAAUUUGCCCUCAUUCUGUUACUUGGUUGCACAAAAAUAUUGAGACCCUCAAAGUACAAAGAAACCAAAAAGAUGACUUAAUUUAUCCUAGUUUGCAUAAAUACUCCAACCUUUUUUGUUAUGCUGUCUCAAGAGGCUCUGAUGGCAGCAGGUACUGUUGGCAACAAGUCAUAAAUCUAAAGCACAUCUGAGAGGAAAUAUUGGGAGCUGAGAAAUACUUUUUUCUAUUUUUUGUUCUGUAACAAAAGUAAUAGUAGAGGUGCAAGCAGACAAAACAAAAGAUUGGGAAAAGACCAACCACCAUUUACUAGUCCAAUUGUGUAAUGCACUAAACUGAGUUGCAUUGUCUCUGCUCAUCACUCCCACUUUGUGAAUCAAUACUCUGCUUAUGUGUAGUUGUGACGACACUGUCUCAUGUGAGGAGAUUUGUGGUGUCAGGAUUUUCUGCAAGACAGGAGGCCAGGAGCUUCAUGUUAACAGCUUUGUGGGAGGAGGCUAUCAUAUAUAAGGAAGGCAGGGAGGAGAAAUCGAGCGCCGCACAAUGGAUCGCCAUUGACUUUCUGAAGAAGAG